UACGAAGGGGGCUAGCGUUGCUCGGAAUCACUGGGCGUAAAGGGUGCGUAGGCGGGUUCUUAAGUCAGAGGUGAAAUCCUGGAGCUCAACUCCAGAACUGCCUUUGAUACUGAGGAUCUUGAGUUCGGGAGAGGUGAGUGGAACUGCGAGUGUAGAGGUGAAAUUCGUAGAUAUUCGCAAGAACACCAGUGGCGAAGGCGGCUCACUGGCCCGAUACUGACGCUGAUGCACGAAAGCGUGGGGAGCAAACAGG
rnacentral:rRNA from 1 species